UACGUAGGUCCCGAGCGUUGUCCGGAUUUAUUGGGCGUAAAGCGAGCGCAGGUGGUUUAUUAAGUCUGAUGUAAAAGGCAGUGGCUCAACCAUUGUAUGCAUUGGAAACUGGUAGACUUGAGUGCAGGAGAGGAGAGUGGAAUUCCACGUGUAGCGGUGAAAUGCGUAGAUAUAUGGAGGAACACCGGUGGCGAAAGCGGCUCUCUGGCCUGUAACUGACACUGAGGCUCGAAAGCGUGGGGAGCAAACAGG
rnacentral:rRNA from 1 species